rnacentral:rRNA from 1 species
CCUACGGGAGGCAGCAGUGGGGAAUAUUGGGCAAUGGGCGCAAGCCUGACCCAGCAACGCCGCGUGAAGGAAGAAGGCUUUCGGGUUGUAAACUUCUUUUCUCAUGGACGAAGCAAGUGACGGUACCUGAGGAAUAAGCCACGGCUAACUACGUGCCAGCAGCCGCGUUAAUACGGAGGUGGCAAGCGUUAUCCGGAUUUCCUGGGUGUAAAGGGCGUGUAGGCGGGAAAGCAAGUCAGAUGUGAAAACCAUGGGCUCAACCUGUGGCCUGCAUUUGAAACUGUUUUUCUUGAGUACUGGAGAGGCAGACGGAAUUCCUAGUGUAGCGGUGAAAUGCGUAGAUAUUAGGAGGAACACCAGUGGCGAAGGCGGUCUGCUGGACAGCAACUGACGCUGAGGCGCGAAAGCGUGGGGAGCAAACAGGAUUAGAUACCCUUGUAGUC